AGUGAACGCUGGCGGUAGGCCUAACACAUGCAAGUCGAACGGCAGCACAGUAAGAGCUUGCUCUUACGGGAGGCGAGUGUCGGACGGGUGAGGAAUACAUCGGCAUCUACUUUUUCGUGGGGGAUAACGUAGGGAAACUUACGCUAAUACCGCAUACGACCUACGGGUGAAAGCAGGGGAUCUUCGGACCUUGCGCGAUUGAAUGAGCCGAUGUCGGAUUAGCUAGUUGGCGGGGUAAAGGCCCACCAAGGCGACGAUCCGUAGCUGGUCUGAGAGGAUGAUCAGCCACACUGGAACUGAGACACGGUCCAGACGCCUACGGGAGGGAGCAGUGGGGAAUAUUGGACAAUGGGCGCAAGCCUGAUCCAGCCAUACCGCGUGGGUGAAGAAGGCCUUCGGGUUGUAAAGCCCUUUUGUUGGGAAAGAAAAGCAGCAGGUUAAUACCCCGCUGUUAUGACGGUACCCAAAGAAGAAGCACCGGCUAACUUCGUG
rnacentral:rRNA from 1 species